rnacentral:SRP_RNA from 1 species
UAAAAUAUGGCCUUUCCUUUACCUGUUUUGCUUCUCUUUUUUUUGCGUAAAAUAUGGCCUUUCAGGUAAAGGAAAAUGCUUAAUGUGGCAGGCACAGCGUGAGGCUGGCUUCACAGAGCAGCGACAACUGCCCGCUUCCAACGGUGAAAGGAUAACGGGCUGCUG